AAAUGGCCGCAGCUGCAAAGCCGAAAGGCUGCAGAUGAGGAAAGUCCGGGCUUCACAGGGCAGGAUGCCAGAUAACGUCUGGCGGAGGCGACUCUAGGGAAAGUGCAACAGAAAUAUACCGCCGCAUUAUGCGGUAAGGGUGGAAAGGUGGUGUAAGAGACCACCGCCCUUCUGGUAACAGGAGGGGUCCAUGUAAACCCCAUCCGAAGCAAGACCGAACAGGGAGCAUAAGGCGGCCCGUCUGCUCCCGGGUAGGUCGCUUGAGCCUGCCGGCGACGGCAGGCCUAGAUAGAUGGCCAUUCAACGACAUAACCCGGCUUAUCGUCUUGCUCA
rnacentral:RNase_P_RNA from 1 species